GAUGAACGCUAGCGAUAGGCUUAACACAUGCAAGUCGCGGGGCAGCACAAGGUAGCUUGCUAUCUGGGUGGCGACCGGCGCACGGGUGCGUAACGCGUAUGCAACUUGCCCUAUACAGGAGGAUAACCCGUCGAAAGACGGACUAAUACUGCGUAUGCUCACAACUUGGCAUCAAGUGGUGAGGAAAGAAAUUCGGUAUAGGAUAGGCAUGCGUCCCAUUAGCUUGUUGGUGAGGUAACGGCUCACCAAGGCAACGAUGGGUAGGGGAACUGAGAGGUUUAUCCCCCACACUGGUACUGAGACACGGACCAGACUCCUGCGGGAGGCAGCAGUGAGGAAUAUUGGUCAAUGGGCGCGAGCCUGAACCAGCCAAGUCGCGUGAAGGAUGACUGUCUUAUGGAUUGUAAACUUCUUUUAUACGGGAAAAACAAGAGUCACGUGUGACUCCCUGCAUGUACCGUAUGAAUAAGCAUCGGCUAACUCCGUG
rnacentral:rRNA from 1 species